CGCGUGUCUGUUGGGUGGGAGGAGUGAAGCGGACCAGAGGUAGGCAGCCUCCGUGGAGGCUGCUGCGCACAGCGCGCUCCGGCGGCGUGAGAUCCCCUGGGCUUUCCAGCUGAAGCCGGACACCCUGCUCGGCCAGGAGCGAAGAUGGAGAGGCGGGUGUUCGAGAGGUCCUUCUGUCAUCUGUCUACCUACAGACUGAUUUGGUUCUUGGCCGCAGUGAUGCUAUGCAGGGCACAAGUGGUGACCCAAGAUGAAAGAGAGCCGCUGAACACACCAGCUUCUUUACGAUGCUUCCUGGAAACUCCCCAGGAAGUCGUGAUUGUGACAUGGCAGAAAAUGAAGGCUUCAAGCCCAGAAAACAUGGUCACUUUCAGCAAGGAGCAUGGGGUCGUGGUCCAACCCGCUUAUAAGGAUAAGAUGAACAUAACUGAGCUGGGACUUCAGAACACAACCAUCACCUUCUGGAAUACCACUCUGGACGAUGAAGGGUGUUACAAGUGUCUCUUCAAUACCUUCGGUUCCGGGAAGAUGUCAGGAAUAGCCUGCCUCACCCUCUUUGUGCAGCCCAAAGUAUUCCUUCACUAUAAAUUAUCUGAAGACCACCUAAAUGUCACUUGCUCUGCCAAUGCCCGCCCAGCCCCUGCAAUCUCCUGGAAGGUCGCUGGGUCAGGAAUGGACAACAGUACUGAGAUUAUCACACACCCCAAUGGGACCACGUCUGUCAUCAGUGUCCUCCACAUCAAAGACCCCAAGAAUCAGGUGGGGAAGGAGGUGAUCUGCCAGGUGUUACACCUGGGGACUGUGAAAGACUUCAGUCAACCUGUGAACAAAGGCUUUUGGUUUUCAGUUCCACUGCUCUUAAGUAUUGUUUCCCUGGUAAUUCUUCUGAUCUUAAUCUCAAUCUUACUAUACUGGAAGCGUCACCGGACCCAAGACAGAGCAAGGCUGCAUUCUGAAGGAAGGUGUGAUGAGUUAGAGGCAAUUUCUCUUUGCUCCAUUCCUGAUGGGAUCAUUGCAGUUACUUCCCAUGAGACUGCGACAAUAAGAUAAUAGAUGAGGGCUGGAUGAGUGGUAAUCCUCAUCCCUACCCCAAUUUCCUCAUAGUUCUAAGAAGAAAGGAUGCAAUGCUUUUAUAAGAAAGAGCCCUAGGAGAGCUGCAGAACUCUGGAAAUUAUUCUCUGGUCUACUUGAAUCUGAUGCAGGAAGAAAGCAGGAGUGAAAGGGUUAUUCUCCAGGGACCUAUGAGAGAAAAAGAGGUGGAAGUAAAAGGCUUAAGAAUUUCAAGACUUUCUACUGCCAUCUAAGCUAAUUCGUGCUUGUGCGAAUUCCAAGAGGAAGUCCAUUUACCUCUCAGGUCUGUUGUAGGAUUGAUUUUGUAAAGCAAUGCAGUGUUGUGCUAUUGAAUGGAUACUGGACUUAGCAUGAGGAGCCACAGUUUGAGACUGUCUUUGGCGGAGACUGGUGGCAACCCCAUAAUAAUCACUAUUCAAUGAACUUCCACCAUGGCAUCCAGAAAAUUAAGGAGUUGGACCAGAUAAUUUGCCAUUCUGCUCUAAAAACUGAUGUCAUUCCAGGAGGAGGGAUAUGAACAAAGGGAAAAGACAUGAACAAGAGCGAAGAAGUUGGGAAGAUUAAGGACCAAAGAACUUUUCUGAGAUUACCUUUUGCUUUUCUGUGGCUGUUCCAUCUCUUCUUCUCUUGCUGUUCAUAGGUCCAUGAAUCUGUUUCCUUGUCCCUUAGUAUCCAAUCCACUACGUGCUUACUGCUUUGCUAAUAGCUGGUCUCUCUAGAACCCUUGGUUUCACUGCUAUUCUUCAUGUAUUUCUGUGACAUCACAAUGAAAAUUGGACUGAAUUUAUUGUGAAACAACAUGGCAAGCUUAACUUUACUUGCCUAUUUUUAUAGCAGAAUAAACAUUGCUAGUCUUAGACAGCAGCUCACAUUUUAAAAAAUGCAUGCACUCCUUGCCCAUUUGUCUCAUAAUAUGACCCAGCCCUAUUUUAGGCAUUCUGAAUUCAGACUAGUACGUAUAAUGAAAAUAUAUUAUGAAUCCAGGCUUUUAGAUUUCCUAAAUAGCAGUUGGCCAGUUCAAAUGCUUUGUCUCUCCUAGCUUCUUUUCCUAUGAGUUCACUUUUCACAGUAGCAGUGGAUGCAUGUCUGGGUGUACAAUUCCCUUUGUUCUAAAUAUAUUGUUUUAACUAGUGAGAACAUUUCGGAACUCUCUAAUAAUCAUAAGGCCAAAUUAGUGACUUUUUCAGUAUCUUUGACUUUCUUGUCUCUAUCCAGUGAUCUAGAAACUAAAACUUAAGUUGUUUUCACUGUUGAAUUGAAUAUUUAUAUAUUUAGUAAACUAUUGAGAUGUUAUUUAA